GUGCAGCUGACUGAGUUAGUGUUGUGGUAGAACCACGAAAGUCAAUAUCAUCAGAACUUUUUGACUCUCUGUCAUAUUCUUCCCCAAUCCAUAUAAAUGACUGAGCAGCCAGUAGAGCUGAAAUAUCAAGUUCUUGAACAUCAUGUGUGGAUGCCAAAACAAUUUCAUUGCUGUUUGCCUUGUUAACUGCAAAUGCCAUUAUCAUAUCUGAUUCUUUGUGAAUUACUUUUGCUUUUC
rnacentral:lncRNA from 1 species